UUCGUUGCUGUUUAUUGUCGGUUUUCUCAUCUUGUACCCUCAUCAUGUUCAUGUGUCUCGUUACCUCUUGCCACGUUCCUUGAGCACUUCUGUGAUGCGGAAAAAAGAUAUUUAGCAUGGCGCCUUAAGACUAUGUCCAGGAAUUCAGCAAAAACACCAGCCAAGACGGCUACACUGGCUCAAGCACAAGGACAGCCACUUUGCCUGAGCAGCUUGAUGGAGAUGCCUGCAGGGAAGCCAUAUAAUUUCUCAUUCACUCUCAGGAUGAAGCAAGUGUGUUUCAGAAGAUGACCUUUCAAUAUCGCCAAGACCUAGUGCAUGACCCGCAGAUGUCUUUAAAACAUUUCCACGGUUUUUAGAUGUCAAAGGGCUGCUGAAACAGCCUCCAAGAUGCUUGAGAAGUGGGUCAAAACCUUCGGGCCCAAGGUUAUCAAUGAGGCCAAACACCUGACUCAGUCAAUUGAGCUGUGCCGACUUCUAAAAGCUGCUGAGAAACUGAUAGAAAACGAUGACACCACCUGGGACAGUGACAUGGCUUCUCUGCUGCUGCUCCUCCAUCUCCUGCCACUCACAACUGGACGGAAGAGGACCAAGACAAGCCCCAGUGAUGCAGUGGACAAAAUGUUGCACUUUCGCAAGUCAUGCUGCAGCUUGGAUGAACACCUUCCAAGAAGAGAUGGUAGACAACCAUAUAUCCUUGCUGUUGGUCGAACCAGGAACAGGAUUGACACUUUCUACAUUGUUGUGGACAAUUAGCUCAUCCCCUGCCAAGCCACUAGCUCAUUGGGUGCAUUUGAUGAACUGUGCAAACAACGGUAUACAAUAUCGAUGUGGGAACAACAAAUGAGUCUCCCAGAGUUUGUGAGUUCCGUGCUAAAGUCUUCAACUAAAGUACUUAAGUGUUUCAUUUGUCAAGCUGUGCAUGUUCCCUGCCAGUCCUUGAUCUCUCAUCUAAGACUUGAUCACAGUUUUUAUCCUAGCACCAGGUUUAACUUAGUUUGUGCACAAGAUCAUUGUAGGCGUCAGUUUUCAACAUAUUCAGGUUUCAAAAAACAUUGAAUUAGUUCUCAUGAGAAGGAUUCUUGUCAAAGUGGAGAUACAGCAAGGCCAGAGUCAUUUCAAACCAAUUUCCACAUGCUCCAAGAUACUUCAGAAGUUGCUGGAACAAGUGUCAUGCAGAACCCAGAGUCUGAGUGUUUUGAGGACAAUGAAUCAGGUCAAAGUUAUUUGACAAUGUUAUUCAUGCAACACCUAAAAACUUAUAAAUACACAAUAAAAAACAAAGCAGGCUACAAUGAAGUUCCAUGCAAAAGCUUUUAGUGCAAAAUUUCCACUAGUUAGAGAAAAACGUUUCACACAAGAAUAUUUUGAUAGAAAACUAAAAAACAAUACUUCAAGUAUUAGAAAAAUAGAUAAAACUACAAUAAAUUAGAGAAAAAAAUGUGCAUUCAGCCCACUAGUACUACUAAUACAAACUGUACAAUGGACUAGUGAACUGUCCUGUGGUGCAUAUAGUUGCUUUGUAAAACUUCAUCGUCAGAAUCAUGCUCUCUCCUCACCUCUGAGAUUUUAACAGUGGGGUGUUGAGUUUUUGAUACAAGGCGAAAUAAACAAACAGGUCAUUAUGAUCAAGUCCCAUUGAACGAUACAUUUGUUUACAUACCAAUUUUGGAAACAGUAAAAUUCAUGUGCCAAAAUGCUGAUAUUUGUAAACUGCUUGGGGAAACUUGUAUAUCAAGACCUGACAGAUACAAAGACUUUUGUGAUGGAAGUUAUUCUAAGACACAUCCAUUGUUCUCUAAAUACCAGAAUUCUUUACAAAUUCAGUUGUUCUUUAUGAUGACUUUGAGACACUAUAUGUCAGAUAACUGGGAACAACUUAGGGAUGCACGCAAUUCUGGGAUUUACAGAAUCUUUCAGUGGACGUUAUGUUUAUCGUUUGUUUGAUAGAAAAACAUGAUGCCCAGAAUGUUUACAAUGAGGAUGACCCCAAGAUAAUCUUGCGUGGAAAGGAACUUUUUGAAAUGCACUGCAAUGAAUUGCAGUCAGACCCACAGAAGUUAUCCAUGUUUUGUUUAAAAAAGAACUCGACUCUUAACAGCCUACAGUUCUUUCGUGUUUGUCAUAAUUUUUCUUUGGACAUUAUGCAUGAUAUUCUUGAAGGUGUGGCUCAGUAUGAGUUGAAGUUACUGUUGGAAUAUCUCUCAGAAAAUGUUUUGUCGAAACCUGAUGUGUUGUCUAGAAUUUAUGCCUUUGACUAUGGGUAUGUGGAGCAUAAAAAUCGACCUACAAGGAUUAACUUGGACAGUAGUGGCAAUAAUAUAGGGCUCAAUUCCAUUCACUCUUUGUCUUGUAAGAAACAUUCCUCUGCUUUUUGGUGACAUUGUGCCAGAAGGAAACCAAAACAGUUUUUUGCUGCUGCUUUUACUGCAGAUAAUCAACAUUAUAUUUUCUCCAUCUGUUACACUUGGCAUGACUUCUUAAGUAUUCGAUAAUGGAACAUCAUGAGUUGUUCAAAGAGCUGUAUCCCGAUAGAAGCCUGAUCCCGAAACAUCACUUUAUGAUACACUAUCCAUCUUGUAUCCGAAAAAUUGGACAACUAAUACAUAUGUGGAGCAUGAGAUUUGAGGCAAAACACAGGAUUUUCCAAAAUACUCUUAAAAACUUCAAAAACAUCACAAAAUCUCUUGCAAAAAAACAUCAAAUAUCUAUUACAUGUCAUUGGGAGACAUUACAUUCAAAAUGUAUUGAGUAUGGCCCAAUGAAAUCUAUUAAUGUGGACAAUGCGGACUAUGGCGACUGUUGGCUCGAGCAUGCAUGUUGAGUCUGUAUCACAAAACUAACUGGGUUACGAUCAGUGGGACAGAGUACAGGGCAGGACUAAUAAUUUGCAGUGAGAUUGAACAUGAAAUGCCUGUGUUUUGCAGAAUAGAAAAAAUAAUUGUUGUUGACCAUGUUAUCUGCUUCCUUGUAAACAAGCUUGUGGUUGACCAUGUCAAUGAACAUUUUCAUGCUUACAAAGUAUUUUAAAGUAAUGACACAGAUGUUGAUAAAGCAGAUAGUCUUGUGAUUUAUAAGCCCUUCGACUUACAAAGUGCUUAUGGUGGAGAUGAGAGCCAAUAUAUUGUGCCAUUAUACUUUGUAAAUGUUUAAGUUGUGCCUGAUCUUAUUAUUGUGCUUACUGCUAUGGUAUUUAUUUUUUGAAUUUAAAAAAACAAAAGAAUGUUUGAAUGAUUUUUAUUACUUGAUCACUGUUGCUGGUCAACACUUUUGAACUUAUGAUGUAACUGUAGAGAAAGUUAGUUGUGUAUUUUAACUUUCUGUAGCCAUGACUACAAUCAUUUUCAGAUUUGGUGACUUGUAUGUUAGGCUAGUAAACACAGAAUGCACUUUUAAUGUAUUGUAAAACAAAACAAUGAAUGUUGAUUAUUAAUUUUAGUGUUAAAAAUAGACUUUAAUGUGUCAUAAAAUAACACGAUGUAUGUUAAAAAAUUUGCAUAGUGAAAGGGAAUAACACAAUUUGGAGUUAAAAGUGCACUUAUGUGGUGUCAUAAAACAACACCAAGGGUGUCAAAUAUUUAACACUAUUAAAGAGUUAAAAUAUUAAUACUUUUCAAAGUG